rnacentral:tRNA from 1 species
GGGAAUGUGGCUUAGUGGUAGAGCGCUUGCCUUGCAAGCAUGAGGCCCUGGGUUCGAUUCCUCAGCACCA